UAUUUUUGUGUUGGUUAUUUUUUGGUAUUGCAUACCUUUAUGAGAUUAUUGUGUUUUUAUGCAUAAUAGAGUUAAAAAGUAGAAGAAUUGUUGGUUACGUUGUUGCACAACGUAUGUUAUUUUUCUUGGUGUUGAUACGUCGAUUUUUUGGUUAUCUGUUUUUUUUUGUUUUAUUGGAAAACUGUAUUUUUAUUUUUGAUAAUAGAGAGAUUAGAUUUUGUAGUGUUUCUUGUUUUAUGUUUUAUAACAUUUCUUUUUUAUUUUGUUAUUUGUUUUUGUGUUUUUAUCAAUUUUUUGAUAAUUGGAUAAUUUUUGAUUUAGUAGGUUUUUAAAUGUUUUUUUUUAUUUUAAUGUUGGUGAGUUAACUUGUUGUUUGGUCAAAUGUUUUUUAAAGACUUAGGUUUUUUGUUAAAGCUGGCCUCUGCCCUAUGUGUUGAUAAAUGGCAGUCUUAGCGUGAGGACAUUAAGGUAGCAAAAUAAUUUGUGCUUUUAAUGGGUUCUGGUAUGAAUGGGGGUUUGGCUGAUUUUUUACUUUUUUUUUUCUGAAUUAGUUGUGUGUUUAAAAAAUAAUGGGCGGUGUUUUACAAAGAUAAGUCUUCGGAAAUUUUUUUGUUUGAGGUUCUUUUGUUGUUUUGACAUGUUUUCUGGGGUAGAAUUUUUUGUAUUUUUUUUUUACUAUUGUUAAUUUAUUAAAUUACUUCGGAGUUAACAGAAAAACAUAUCUUAUUUAGUUCUUAUAAUAAUGAUAAGUUUUACAUCGAUGUUGUAUUUUAGUUUUGGGGGAGAGGAGAAGGUUCUUUUUUUUAGACUGUUCUUCUGUUAGUAAACUAAACGUGAUAUUAGUUUAAUUCAUCGUGAGAUAGAAUUGUUUAUCUUGUUAAUACUUUUUGAUUGGUGCCUGGUAGUACGAAAGGAAGUGUGUUGAGGUUUUAAAUCUUUUGAGGGGGUUCUUUUUUUG
rnacentral:rRNA from 1 species